UUGAGAAGUUUAAAAAGAAGCUUGCUAAAGUAGUUGAUGAUCAGAUCGAUGGACAUGAUGGUGCAGUUUCGGCUUCGUGAGUUUUGAUUCGGCAUCGGGAUGCAAGUGAUCGUGGGUGGCUUUAUUGUUAAUAAAGCUUAACUGAUUUGGAGAUAAUGGAUAGACGUAAAAACAUUAAUUGCUCUUCCAAGAAUCUAAGUGAUGGCCGUAGCCAGAAGUUCUACAUGAGUUAGAGAAACAGUAAAUGUUGUUUGUCGGGGGCACCUUAAUCCUUAAUAAAAGUAAAAAAAAAAUAUAAUGUUUUAUCCUUCUAUGCAUUUUAACUAUAUUUUCACUUUGUCAAUAAGUAAUUUAUGUAAUAAAUAUAUGUCACUUUAUUGGUA